rnacentral:rRNA from 1 species
GAUGAACGCUGACAGAAUGCUUAACACAUGCAAGUCAACUUGAACUUCGGUUUGGGUGGCGGACGGGUGAGUAACGCGUAAAGAACUUGCCUCACAGCUAGGGACAACAUUUGGAAACGAAUGCUAAUACCUGAUAUUAUGAUUAUAUGGCAUCGUAUAAUUAUGAAAGCUAUACGCGCUGUGAGAGAGCUUUGCGUCCCAUUAGCUAGUUGGAGAGGUAACAGCUCACCAAGGCGAUGAUGGGUAGCCGGCCUGAGAGGGUGAUCGGCCACAAGGGGACUGAGACACGGCCCUUACUCCUACGGGAGGCAGCAGUGGGGAAUAUUGGACAAUGGACCGAGAGUCUGAUCCAGCAAUUCUGUGUGCACGAUGAAGUUUCUCGGAAUGUAAAGUGCUUUCAGUUGGGAAGAAAAAAAUGACGGUACCAACAGAAGAAGUGACGGCUAAAUACGUG